rnacentral:lncRNA from 1 species
GUGAAUGUUUAACAAAUACCUUGUACUGAAACAUUUAUGUGGCGGUAAUCCGUUAUAUAUGAUGCAUUCAUGUCUCAGACAUGAUAUAUAAUGUGAGAUUCCAGGCUUACAGUGUUUAUAUUUUUCGCCUACGGCUCAGAGAAUAUAUACUCGGGAUAACACAUUGCAUUCACUGUCUGAGACCUGAAUAACAUAUAAUAUAAUACAUUUUGGCAAAGUAUGAAUUAUUUCUACCAUUUUCAUAUUAAACUCUCAUACUACCUUACGUGGCUUUUUGAUAUGUAUACUCUUUGCAUGCUUACAAUUUGUAUUCAUGAUAUUUGUAUAAUAUGAAC